AGUAAAUACAUAAGCUUAAAAAAAGAAGAAAGAAAUAUAGUCUCAGUUAGAGAUAUCAAUUUACAUACUUGGAGUGUAUGGUGUUGGAAGCCAUGGAAAAGAGGAGACAAAAUAGCUCUCAAGUCCUUCCAGCUGUGAAGGACUCCUGAAUAUCUUAAGCCUGGUGAACAGACAUCAGAAUCCCAUGAUCUGCCCACAGGCCUCAUCAGGUCUGGACUAUGCUGCGUUCCUCCCUGUCCUACACAACUGUGAUAUGAUUACAACGGCUCCCUCAGGGGACCUACUCUGAGAACUCAUAGAAUCCCUUUUCUGCUGGGUGUCCCAGCAGAGAAGGGAAAUGACAGAGCAACUGAUUCGUCCCAUUUUAUGGAUGAGUAGACUAAACUGGGAGCACCGAGGAGCACCAAGGCAUCGUGUGGACAGAAAGAGAGAGACAAGCACCUCUGAUAAGAUCUUCAUGCCUCAAUCCACGCCCAGUCUCAGCUGGCCUGGAUCAUGGACACAUCCCCACGUGCCCGGCUUGCUCAGGAAGGCCUCAGAAUGCAAACCGAGGACCUUUCCCAUAUGGAUCCAGUUGUGUGACUACCGUGCCAUCACCUGGCCUCCAUGUAACUUCUCGGAAGUCAAAGGCAAAUACAUGGAAGAUAGGCAUUCAAAUGAUAGUGGAGAUGGCUGGUGGGGAGUUGAGAAAAAGAAUCCAAGGGGAUGUUCAUGCAGCUGUAUUACAAGAGCGAUGGCUGUGGAAACAGAAGAUCUAAAUCUCACCUCUGCUUGUGUCACUUACGGAUAUGUUAAC